AAGACUACAGGUACACACCACCAUGCCUGGCUGAUCUUAUUUUUUGGAGACGGGUCUCAAACUCCUGACCUCAAUUGAACUUCCUGCCUCGGCCGUCCAAAGAGGUGGGAUUACAGAUGUGAGCCAUUGCGCCUGGCCACCUUCGCUCUUCAAUGGAAUGCUCCCGAAGUUUCACAAACAAGGCAAGCCUCCGACAGCACUAGAGGUCGUACGUGAUGCAGUAUGACACCAAAAUUAGAAGUAAAAAAAUUCAAAAGGGAAGAACCAGAUGGUUUGAUCAGCUAUGGUUGCUACCUUCAGAAUAAUCAAAGGCACAGUACGAAAAGCAGAACCUAAAGACUUCUAGAAGAACAUACAGAAAAAACAUCCUCACAACUUUGGGGUUUGGAAGGGACCAUCACCAAAACAAGGGCCUUCUGCGUGGACUGCAGCACUGACUCGUGGAACUGGUGUGCAAACUCUUCCGCCAUGAAGGGCUCCCACGGCUUGCUCUUCCCAUUGAAGCUGUGAGACAACGGCACAGGAAUGUCCUUGGGCGCAGUGCCCCGGAUGUAAUGAAGCAUGCUCAGGCUCUUCUUGCCCCCGGGGGCCUCGCUCAGCCUGGCCUUCUCACCACUGGCAGGAGCUGGCUCCUGGACUCUCGAGAGCUCCUGGGGCCGGAACUGUUCAAGUUUCCCAGGCUCCACAGCCUUUGGGACAUCAGACAAGGAAGUGGCAACAGCGACAGGCUUAUCCAUGUCCAGAGAAGCUUGCUGCGUGGCUGGUUCUUUCAGAGACAGAAAGCAAAGGAAAACGUUAAACGCUGCAAGUUAACGGGCUAAGUGUCCAGCACACGGACCCUGAUCCCUACAGCUUACGUUUAACAAAGACCUAGCGCAAAGAACCAAGACUCAGGGGACAUUUAAUUAACCAUUGUGCACGCAGCUACGGUCUGAAGAUAGUGGUGUGUUUAGCAGCCAGUCCAUCCUUGAAAAGUGCCCCGAGAAGGCACCUGGAAAGAAAGAUCUGAAGGAAGAAGCAAGUGGCUUCAAGACAUCAAAACAGUCUGGAGGUGUUUAGUCCAGCUGGGCCAGAAAGAGCACGUGGGAGCAGGGCUGGACCGUGGAGACUCCCUGCUUCCUCUGGCAGGGCGGAGAGGCGUGAUCGGAGGCGUAAGGAGAGAGGAGUGAAAGCAGGUGCUGACAAGGCCCGGAAGGAAGAAGGAGUGAGACACAGAUGCAGGAAGGAGAGAGCCAGGGCAGGCCAGCGCUGGGACGAGGUCGCAGCACUCAGGCUGGAGUAGGUCCUCCUUCCCGGGACAGUGCCUCAGUGGCGCCAGCAGCCUCGCCCUCCUCGCCUGGGCUGGCCUUCUAACAAGCCUUGGUGCCGCAGCAGAGGGACGAUGACUAUGACCACCUGACAGAGCUCUGCAGACGCUAGGACCCUCCCCUCAAUCCUGAGCCUGCCUCUUGGGUCCCAAGGACCAUCCCAGCUGUGUGGGAAGCGUACGCUUGUGUGAGGGACAGAAAGAAACAGUCUCGAGGAGGUCAGGUUCAUGAAGACGAAGGCCUUGAACAGCUGCCUCUGACCCCAGGCAGCCCACAGGACCGUCCCAGGUGUGCUGGCCUUCCCUUACCACUCAGGGAGACGGCAGGACUGUCCCUCGGAGAGUUUGUCAAGGAGUCUGCCAUUGCUGCGGACAGUGCCUUCUGCUUCAUGGCACGGAGCAUUUCAACAAGUCUCUCUUUGUCUAUGAGAAAAGCAGCCUGAGAUUAACGAGGCGGUCGUAUCAUUUUGAGAGGGAAGGACAGUAGGAGUCUAGCCUAGUCCUGACAGGCAGGUACAAGCACUUUAAACCACGAAAAACCAAAAGCAAGUGCCACGGGACAGGCCGUGUUUAAAGGAGGAAAGCUUCAUUUUAAAGCGAGCUCAGAUUCCUCUUGGCAUUUACUACACGAUGGUUUGGGUGUGUUCCAAGAUAGCUGUGUGUGCAGUGAUCACAGGUCUACGCGAUACCGUGUACCCAGGGUCUUCUGUAGUGACUUCGAAGGAGGUGUUCUUAUUUACGACAACGGCAGCCCGACACAAGGACACACCCAAAUGUCCACACUGGCCUCUGAGGCUCAGCACAUCCCCCUCCCCCACUCCUGGUGCUCCAGUGCUAGUCCACGAGCGAUGCCGUUUCCUAUAAAAGAAGGAGGAUCCCAAGACGUUCGGCGGAGUGAAUUCCUGUUGCGGUGGCACUUCUUGAUGACUCUGAAACUUAAGCAGCCACAGUGUCUAUGGCUUCCUCUGCAAAAGCCAUCUUUUUGCCUGGCUGAAUUUGUAAACAAAACUGCACAUUUCUAGGAUUUGUGCUAGCAAUCAACAUGUCACUAACCCUCAAAGGGAAAGUGAAAACUUCAACUUAGUGGUUAAAGAAAAAUAAACUGCUAUACUCUAAUUAAAAAACAAAAACAAAAACAAAACACGUUGAAGCAACCGAAGGACCCAGAAGUACCUUCUGUUCUCCUUCGACUCUCCCAGGGAGGAGGCCAGGGGUCUGCACGGGACCCAGAGGCAGGAGAAGGAGCACAGCCAGGAACGUCACCAUCUUGGCCCCAAGCGGGCGUGGGCCGGGUGGACAAAGGAAGCAGAAACCCCGAGGAAGAGGUGCAGGAGCACCGUUUCUUCUGCUGUGUGGAUUCUAGCCCUAAGGGCCCGCCCCAACACAGCCCUGGGUGGCCAGACCGAUCUGGAAGCAUCCAUUCAUAGCACAUGCUGGUCUGCCUGGCUGCUACAGGCCAUGCCCACACCUCCCUCCUGCCAUCGGCACGCAAAGCCGAGUGGCCCAGCAGAAGAAAAGGCUGGGCCGGGCACCCCUGGAGCGCCCAGCACCUCCCCUCACUCCCAGGUGGAGUUACCGAAACAUCUGCUCAGAACUGCGCCUGUCAGGCGCUAGAAAAUGGAUAAAAGACAAGGGCAGCUGUCAGCUCAAGCUGGGCUUCACACGCGGAAAGAAAACCACUGAGUCUUCACGGCUGCCCAGGACGCAACCGGAGCAAAUGGGCUCCAAACAGGGUGAGGUCAAAGCCCCGGGGGCAGGUCUGCGGGAGCAGACAGGUGGCCUCGGGACUGAGUGUUCCCAGACCCUGCCUGGCGUCCAUGGGCCCCGCCAGCUGCUUGAGAAGCACACAGCCACCCCAGCCAGCCCCUCCUGCCCAGGUGAGGUCCUACCUUUCCUCUUCUCGGCGCUGAUGUGGGUAAGGUUGAAGAUGGUCAGGAACUUCUUCUUCUCUUCGAAGUUCGGGCUGUUGUUCAUCUCGUCGGGGCUGUAGCGGGUGGACAGCGCCAGUCUUGGCGAAGGUGUCUGCCGCUUGCUCUGAAUCGCCGGAGGCGACGGGCUUCGCUCUCUCAGCAUCCGCCGCCGCUUCCUCCGCUUCUGGGCCACCAAUUCCUCCUUCUGCUGUUGGGUGGUCAAGCCAAAAAGUUGCAAAAACUCUAGCUUCUAGAUUGGGAAAGAAAACAAAUGAGUUUGAAGCCACCGACAGUGGUUGUGUUUUCACUGUCCUGGGGCCCUUGAA